GGCAUCUUAAGCUGCAAACAACCUGCCACAGAGGACAGAUGAAUCCACAGAAGCAGCGGCAGAAGAAAAAAGAAGUGGGGGCCAAUAUCAAACUAAGUUCAUCACAUUACAGAAUUUGAGUCUCCGGCAAAUUCCUGCAGUGGAAACCCUUUCAAUCAGGCUCAGCCUACAUCCCACGAUGUGGUCCUCAGCCAAGGCAAAAGAGAAAAAAAUUUUUUGGAACUUUGCAGCAGCCAUUCAACCAGGAACAGUAAUAUCUAACCAUUAAUUUUUCAUGGAGCUUUUCUGGGCCUACAUUUUGUUCUUGUUUACCUUUGUAGCAGAAAAAAAGGGUGCCCAGAUAAAGAUUUUUUUUUUUUUUUUAAUUAUUUUAUUCUCGUAUGUCAUGCAGUUCACUGUUUGGAUUCAAUUAUGCAUGUGGUUCUUAUCUAUGAAUGUAUGAUGUUUGACUGUGCAGAAAGCACUCAGCGAGCACUUGUAUGAAAAAAGCUUCGGAGUCUGAGAGCAUGCUGCUGCUGACAGAGCAGCGUAGCGAGGUGCGAUCAAAAAGUUCUGAGACUCAUCCUGUCGUACAUGAACAGAGCAGCGCACAGUCAUGUGCAUACAAUAGGGACCAGCAGCAGCACUUCAGGAUUCCACUUAACCUUUUUGGCAAUCGGCUCAUUUCACUUGAGUUUUUAUUAAUACUUGUAGAUGCACAUGUGUAAUUUGUUCCAAUUAUCAGAAGCAGUACCAUGUUUAAGUCCCAGCUACCAGGCCACCUUCCUGUUUAGGAUCACCAGUGGUAAUGAGUUGAGUCUAUGGAUACGACACAAGAGAUCAAACAGUAGCCUUAGCAGUGGAAGGAAUCAAUGUCUUCAAGGCUGAAGAAGACAUGUAUUUGUGUACUAGCCAUUCACUACCUGGGAUUGGACUUUCCGAUAGAAGUCGGAUGCUGUGCACAAGUUUUUGGCCACACUGCUGACCAGUAGCAUCCACCACGCACCAUACAGUAGUUGGUGCAAGGCGUAGCAACUAAAAAGACUUUGAGGAAGCAUUCUAAAUGAUGCUAGGGUGCUGGGAGUUGUGUGUUAAUGCACAAGGUGACCACUUUGAAGGAAACUGCAGCUAAACAGUUUUUGCUUUUUAUAGGCACAGUCACUGACUUUUUUUGAUUGGUGUUUUGCAGCCCGGGAAUCCACUGACUAGCCUAAUUAAAGAUACUCACAGGGUUAUUUGCUGUUCUCACAUACAGUCUAUGCACAUGUAACAGAGUUAAAAAUGCACCAUAUUAUUAUUUCAUUUCCUCUCCAAUGUUUGUAUUUUAUUUUUCAAUAUAUAUGUGAAAUUUUAUCAUUUAUUUAUUUUAUUUUGAAAACCCAGAAGUGCGCUAUGCUCUUUUGAGCAUAUGAGUGAAUGUUAUUUUGGGUCGCUUUACUUCCUCCCUCACAACACUGUACUAACUGCUGAAGGUAAGUUUUGCACUAUUAUAUGUGUUUUUACUAAUUCAAUGUGCUAACUUCAUUCUCACACUAAUGUAUGUUGUCAAGACAAUGUUUUAAGAUGUAUUUGUACCAUUUUGAUUACUUUAGUGGGCUGAUACGAAUUUUAAUGACAUUUUUAUUCAGCUUAUAUUUGAUUUCAGUUAGCUGACUGGUGUAAAUAGCAUGUCGUGGCUAUCACCUGACUGCUAAUAGAGCAGCCAUUUUAUAGUGUCAUUUUAUUUUUAUAGGGAGCCAGUGAUUGGUGUAUGUAAAGACACUACAGUGAUGUUUUUUUUGUGUCUAUCAUAGAAUUAAAAGUGGUCAACUCCA